GAAAUGCGAUAAGUAGUGUGAAUUGCAGAAUUCAGUGAAUCAUCGAAUCUUUGAACGCACAUUGCGCCCCUUGGUAUUCCAUGGGGCAUGCCUGUUCAAGCGUCAUUUGUACCCUCAAGCUCUGCUUGGUGUUGGGUGUUUGUCCCCGUCUCCGCGCGUGGACUCGCCCCAAAGUGAUUGGCAGCCGGCGUACUGGUCCCGGAGCGCAGCACAUGUCGCGCAAACGAGUGCCUUGGUACGGCGGCGUCCAUAAGCCCCUCUCUCACGCUCUUGACCUCGGAUCAGGUAGGGAUACCCGCUGAACUUAAGC
rnacentral:misc_RNA from 1 species